rnacentral:snRNA from 1 species
AUCGCUUCUCGGCCGUUUGGCUAAGAUCAAGUGUAGUAUUUUUCUAUAAAACUCGUUUAAUUAUAGGAUUGUCUUUGGUAUGACAAUUUGUUCUAUAAAUAAGUACACUAGCAGAAAAACCCUA